UGGGGAAUAUUGCGCAAUGGGCGAAAGCCUGACGCAGCAACGCCGCGUGAGUGAUGAAGGCCUUCGGGUCGUAAAGCUCUGUCGGAGGGAACGAAUGCUCUUGAGGUUAACAGCCUCGGGAGGUGACGGUACCCUCAAAGGAAGCACCGGCUAACUCUGUGCCAGCAGCCGCGGUAAUACAGAGGGUGCAAGCGUUGUUCGGAAUCAUUGGGCGUAAAGGGCGUGUAGGCGGUAUGUUAAGUCAUGUGUGAAAUCCCUCGGCUCAACCGGGGAACGACGCAUGAAACUGGCAAGCUAGAGUACCAAAGAGGGUGGUGGAAUUCCCGGUGUAGCGGUGAAAUGCAUAGAUAUCGGGAGGAACACCUGUGGCGAAGGCGGCCACCUGGUUGGAUACUGACGCUGAGACGCGAAAGCGUGGGGAGCAAACAGGAUUAGAUACCCUAGUAGUCCCUGAGCGGGC
rnacentral:rRNA from 1 species